rnacentral:piRNA from 1 species
GAGACCUUCACGAGCUGGCGGGCUUGC